CAACCUAAACACCACCUCUGAUGACAUUGUAGGCAGGCCUGCUCCGGCUUCCGCUUGAGGAGACAGGCCUUCGGCACGGCCGCGGCCGUGGCGGGUGGGUUGGGUGGUACCGAAGCGACGGCCUAGAGGGUGAAGGUGGGGUAAGUCUGGGUAGUGGGAAGGUGUUCCCUCGUGCGCCGACAGAGCGUCUGGGGCCGCUUCGGGGCCUCGGGAGCGGGGAGCACGCCGAGGAGGCCCGUUAGCUAGCUGUAGACGACUGGGGAACCCUCCAGUCCGGCCUUCCACGAGGUGACGAAGGAUUUUCGCGUAUCUCGAUAGGGUUGAACGAAACUACUUAGGUUAGCUUAGUUUAACCACACAGCGGAACUCGUGAAAAAGAGACCCUUGGUUACGAACUGAAAAGACGAUCAUUUAGUAACCCGGUGGUGUUUACCUUCUGUUCCUACACCGCGGUGACAAGAAAACAAAUCAAUAAUUAGUAUUCGGAUUGUAGUACACAUAAGGAGACGGGUCAGCAGUUCAGUCACCUUUUUUGUUAUGUUAGUACAUGCCGAGGUGGUUUGGACUUCUGCUAUAAAACCCAUCCCCGAAAGCCGCGUUAAAGACGAGUCUUUUUUUCUACUUUUCGCGCAACGAACACGGAAUGAUCUACCUGGUCUCUUGAAUGACCUUCUGUUUGUGUUUGGGAACUUCGUUGGUGGUGUAGUGAACACUUUAGUGUGUAUCUCUUCGAGCGGCCGCUCUCUGGGUACCUCCGACGACAACAGUGGCAAAGGUGCCCCCACUACUUCGGGGAGGACAGGUUCGAGAAGUUCGACGACGACCUCCUCGUGCCCUUCGAGUUUCCGCAGGCGGUACUGCGGUUCAAGUAUCCUCUGCUCGAAGCGUCGUACUUCCGACGUGACCUCCACGAACGCCUACUUCUUGUUGAGCUUGGACGCUACUCUUAAACCGCCCUACUACAUGCACUCGAAAGAAUACUGUACCUCCUAACGUAACUACAGAAACACCGAGUACAGCUGGUACUCGGGCUACCCGCAUGGUGUGAGUUCUUCAAGCAACUGUACAACUUCUUCGGCUUUGUAGCGGUAGUCUGACGAUCACUCUAUCAAUUUGAGUUCCGGGCACGUUGAGUCCGUUCGCUCUCCGUGUUCUCCAUAUUAUAAUAGGCCGGUUGUGGAACGUAAUCGAGAACAAGGUAACUGGGGGCCGACGGCCGCGAAAUGCGCCUCCAACUACUUGAACAGCCGUAACUACCAGGAUUCCUGCUAUAGUAGCUGACCAAAGUCACCCUCCGAUGAAGAUGUGUCGGAGUUCACGACAGAUAACAACCAAGACCGCCAGAACCGUUCUGAUGAGAUCGUUUGGUUCAGAUAGUACGUUACCUUUCGGUAAAAAGUACACGUCGCAAACACAGCCAAAGAGCUUUAGGACUAUACUCUUUCUGAGAUUCUCUAUAACGACCUCCUCACCCCAAGAGUCUGAUGUGUGACCUACUAGUACACGUUGUUGACUAGUCAUUUGAGUCCGUUAUAGAAUUUCUGCUUUCCAUGAAACAACAUUAACUACUACACACCUCGCGCCUGCGUACCCUUUGAUAGUCCGAACAUAAUAACUUAUUAUUGGUACCCUCAUCUUAAUAGUGAUGUUGUGCAUUAUGACUUCAGCGUAGUACAACAAGAAGCCCACCACCAGUACAAAUAUCUUACCUUGGGGAACGCAAACUACUGAGGUUUUCCAACAAAAAAUCUUCUCGUAAACCAGGACUCCUAAAUACGAUAGGAGUAGACCUUUUUCAGAGAUUACUCUAUAAUUCUUUUACAAGACCGGAUGGUAACCGAUAAUAAUGACACAGAUCAAACAACCGACUAGUCGUACGUCUUCUACUUACCUUCUCUCACAAUCGACGAUAACCAAGACGUGAACGUUUACUAAGACCACGACUAUUCUACUGUUUCUAUAAUAGAGACUCGAUGAAACUAGAAGGAGUGGUAGACUCUCGGACAAACAACAUGAACUCAUAUAAAGGUCUUCUAAGACGAUAGACCUUUGUUGUAAACUAUGUAUUUACCUAACGACUUCCUAAGUAAGUACUCUUUGUUCCCGCUUCAGCUAUACUUUAUCCACUCUGAAUAAAAUUGCUCGAAUAAUUAUCUUCGAACUAGGUUGGCCAACCACGUUGUAAAUCGGUCCAUCUCAGUACGGUUCAAGUACUAUAGUAAGACCUAAAGUAGUGUACGUUUCGACGGCUUCUCUUAAAACAGUGAUUUAAGUCACUACAUCUCCUACCCGUGUUAAGUACAAUGUCUCAGGCCUCCGAAGAACAGCCCUUAUUGUCAUUACUUUUCCAACGGUAUAGUCGGGGCUAAGAGAGAGUACAAGCCAGGGAGUAAUAUAUACGUGUACGAGGAGUUCAAAGAAACAACUGAAAGGGUCAAGAAGCACAGAACCUGGAUCCUUUCACGACCACCAAUCUUCUAGUAGUACAACGUUUAUAACUUUUCGACGAAGAAGACUUCAUGGUCACGGAACGUUUACAAUGUGAGGAGGGUUUUUUUAAACCUCUUGACGUCAUGAACCUUUGUGACCCGUAUCGUUUAUGGUCUUAAGAUCUUUACGGUAAUCGACAAUGUUCGGAAGUUGCCGACCGGUCAGAUUUACAAGUAAUGGUGUAAUCAAAAGGCCUACCUUACUAACCAUUCUACGUUUCGAACCUUCUAUAUCUCUGCGAACCACAGGUGAGGAUACUUGUUCCCUUUAGUGAUGUUCUUAAGUCGGUCGAUUGGUUCUACUCCUCCAACUUUCAUGUCGACCCCUACAAACUUAACACCCUUCCUUGUCCAGUUUAACUCCUGGAAGUGCCAAUGAACCCUUGUAAUCAUAGAAGUACGUUGGAAGCAGUAGAUUUAUAUAGGUUCGAUUCGAGCCUACAGAAUCGACAGUUUUGAAUGAAAGGUGACAGUGACCUCAGCACCACGGGCUGAUGAGGGACGUCGGAAGUCCUCGAAGUGUAUUGUAUGACAAUGUAACUGUUCCAAGGUUUGACCUACUCGAACGAAGCGUUAGAAUCUCUUAAUCUUUAGAUACAGCAGUCACACUCUGGUCUUCUACAAUCUUAGGAACCUAGUUAUGGUUGAAACGAAUAGGAGUUUGAUUUCUGAAAGUUACCGUGGCUACCUUCUUAAGAGUAAGUACCCAAGUCGUUAAACUUUAUAAAGGUAAACCUUGAGGAAAUAACACCCUGGAGUGACCUCAAACUUCUCCCUAGUUACGGUUCCGAACUCGUGGACCUCGACCUCAAGGCACACGUAGUCUACCUAACGGACUUACCAAGAGAGUUAAAGCCAUAGGUUGUGGAGAGACGGGAGGCGUUUCAACUCCAGACAUAAAAACCGUUGAAACCGUUGUUUCUGUUACGCUACCGUCCAGACCUUACAACGAAACCGUUUAGGUAACCUUAGGAAUAACUUCGACUGUAACUCUACGAAGGGUUAACAAGGUCAAAGGAAAAUGUUAUACCUUUACAUCGUAUGCCUUUGCACCGGACGCUUGUAAUGUGUUUUUACCACCUCUGUCUCAUACUCUUUCUUCUACUUCGUCCUGCUCCUUUUCAACCUUCACGUCCUCGUGGGGUGACCGUACACCCUUGUUUAAUGAAAGCUCACAGUAAACCAAUUUUUUUUCACUGUGAGCUUUCAUUAAACCCACAAGUAAACCAAUUAUAAGGCGUUUUUUUUUCACAGUAAACCAAUUAUGUGUUUGUGCAUUCAAGAGCUCGGGCUUGAGGGAGUUUCCGCACAAGGAGCCCCGCUACUGGAGUCACAUAGACGUUCACGCGAGUUCCUGUCGUGGCCUCCUCAGGUGUUAGGUGUGAUCUCUCUUCGUCGGUGCAGCGUCGCACCUCGACCAUCGUAGUACGUCUCGAGUCCCACGACGAAGCGGUCUACCCCUAGCAGCUUCUCCUGAAGAACUCGAAAUAACCUCUCUCAAACUAGUGGAAGAAAGGCUCGGGGUUCACCGGCUCAAACCACCGAGACGGACCAACCAGUAAAGCAACUGUUGGUUGACCCCCUCUGACACAGCGGUGGCGCCGGUGGUCCCAUCCGUUCGAGUUAUUUAGAACAUUUCCGGACCAGUCAAUAUACGACGAGAUGAAACCAACGACCUACUAGUUCAUCGAUUAAUUUCGGAACCAUAAAAGGUUAGUUCUAAAGGAAACCAACAUUAGUAAUUCGCACGAUGCGGCACAACUUAUAUCUGAAGCCCGGACAUCUGAGGAUGUCACACUUUCACCAAGAAUG
rnacentral:rRNA from 1 species